AAUGAACGCUGGCGGCGUGCUUAACACAUGCAAGUCGAACGAUGAAGAUACUGCUUGCAGUAUCGGAUUAGUGGCGCACGGGUGAGUAAUAUAUAGAUAAUGUGCCUCUUAGUCUGGGAUAGCCAUUGGAAACGAUGAUUAAUACUGGAUACUCCUUCUAAUCUUAAGAUUAGUCGGGAAAGUUUUUCGCUAAGAGAUCGGUCUAUAUCCCAUCAGUUAGUUGGUAAGGUAACGGCUUACCAAGACAAUGACGGGUAGCGGGUUUGAGAGGAUGAUCCGCCACACUGGUACUGAGACACGGACCAGACUCCUACGGGAGGCAGCAGUGAGGAAUAUUGCACAAUGGGGGAAGCCCUGAUGCAGCAACGCCGCGUGGAGGAUGACGCAUUUCGGUGUGUAAACUCCUUUUAUAUGUCAAGAAAAUGACGGUAGCAUAUGAAUAAGCACCGGCUAACUCCGUGCCAGCAGCCGCGGUAAUACGGAGGGUGCAAGCGUUAUUCGGAAUCACUGGGCGUAAAGGACACGUAGGCGGAUUGGAAAGUCAGAUGUGAAAUCCUACAGCUUAACUGUAGAACUGCAUUUGAAACUUCUAAUCUAGAGUAUGGGAGGGGGAGAUGGAAUUAGUGGUGUAGGGGUAAAAUCCGUAGAUAUCACUAGGAAUACCUAAAGCGAAGGCGAUCUCCUGGAACAUAACUGACGCUAAGGUGUGAAAGCGUGGGGAGCAAACGGGAUUAGAUACCCCGGUAGUCCACGCCCUAAACGAUGAACACUAGUCGUCGGGAUGCUAGUCAUCUCGGUGAUGCACUUAACAGAUUAAGUGUUCCGCCUGGGGAGUACGGUCGCAAGAUUAAAACUCAAAGGAAUAGACGG
rnacentral:rRNA from 1 species